UACGGGGGGGGCAAGCGUCGUUCGGAAUUACUGGGCGUAAAGGGCUCGUAGGCGGCCAACUAAGUCAGACGUGAAAUCCCUCGGCUUAACCGGGGAACUGCGUCUGAUACUGGAUGGCUGGAGGUUGGGAGAGGGAUGCGGAAUUCCAGGUGUAGCGGUGAAAUGCGUAGAUAUCCGGAGGAACACCGGUGGCGAAGGCGGCUUCCUGGACCGAUUACUGACGCUGAGGCGCGAAAGCUAGGGGAGCAAACGGG
rnacentral:rRNA from 1 species